GACAGAGGGUGCAAACGUUGUUCGGAAUUACUGGGCGUAAAGCACGUGUAGGCGGCAAUAUAAGUCGGAUGUGAAAUCCCGCGGCUCAACCGUGGAAGUGCACCCGAAACUGUAUCGCUAGAGUCCCGGAGAGGAUGGUGGAAUACUUGGUGUAGAGGUGAAAUUCGUAGAUAUCAAGUGGAACACCGGUGGCGAAGGCGGCCAUCUGGACGGUGACUGACGCUGAGACGCGAAAGCGUGGUAGCAACAG
rnacentral:rRNA from 1 species